rnacentral:rRNA from 1 species
CUACGGGCUGCUCCAGUGGGGAAUAUUGGACAAUGGGGGAAACCCUGAUCCAGCAAUUCCGCGUGGGUGAAGAAGGCCUUCGGGUUGUAAAGCCCUUUAGGCGGGGAAGAAGAUUUUAGGGUGAAUAGCCUUAGAAUUUGACGGUACCCGCAGAAUAAGCACCGGCUAACUCUGUGCCAGCAGCCGCGGUAAUACAGAGGGUGCAAGCGUUAAUCGGAUUUACUGGGCGUAAAGGGUGCGUAGGUGGUAAAGCAAGUAAGAUGUGAAAGCCCUGGGCUUAACCUAGGAAGUGCAUCUUAAACUGCUUAACUAGAGUAUGGUAGAGGGUAGUGGAAUUUCCGGUGUAGCGGUGAAAUGCGUAGAUAUCGGAAGGAACGCCAGUGGUGAAGACGACUACCUGGACCAAUACUGACACUGAGGCACGAAAGCGUGGGGAUCAAACAGGAUUAGAUACCCUCGUAGUC